AUCGCAUUAAAUUAUUGGUAGAUUUUUUUACUUCUUUUGAAAUUCAUAACAAAUAGCGCUGUUCUUAUGGUGUUUGGAAUUUAAAUUUUAUUGUGUAACUUACUCUGACUACCCUUAGAUCCGCCACUGUUUCUAUUUCAUGUGCUUUUAAGGUUCGUGGCUUCAGAGGUUGGUGGAGUAUUGGGAAGCAGUGCGCACCUUUGUUUGAAAAUUUUAUUGAUAUUAUGGCGUUACCGCGGAUAGCAACUCCCUGGCAAAUUUUUAACAGUGUUCCCCGACAAGUAGAGAUUCAAUUAGCAGUCUGGGAUAUACGUGGUGGAACAGGUUCAUGGACCAAAACAAGGCCAAGGGUAGAAACAAUUUAAGAAAAAUAUCCUGCACUUCAGCUUAUUACAGAUGUAAAAGCUGAAUUUCAAAGAGUAAACCACAAGUUAAUCCAUUAUAUAGCUGGCAAAUUUCAAUCCAUUGAUUGAGAAAAAUGUUUUGGACUAUGCCAAAAAAUGUAACAAGAAAACUACAUUGGUUCUAAUAAACAGAGUGGAGAGAGCAAUUGCUGGGAAAUCAGGUUGUUGAUUUCAUAGAUCAGGAUAAUUGGUUGAGAAGACCUUUCAGAUGUUCAAACUUUGAUGAUUGCAGUGGAGGGGCAAAUGUUAAUUUAUCGAAGAACACACUCAGCCUUAUUUUAUCUACUAAAUAUGGAGUACAUUGCUGGUGUGGCAAAUGAAAACUGCUCUCGUCGGGAAGCCUUAGGACAAAAACUUUUGAAGGACGUUAAGUACCCUAGACUUUUUAUACAUUCUUGUACGUAGAUUUUCC